GAUGAACGCUGGCGGCGUGCCUAAUACAUGCAAGUCGAGCGAACAGACGAGGAUCUUGCUCCUCUGACGUUAGCGGCGGACGGGUGAUUAACACGUGGAUAACCUACCUAUAAGACUGGGAUAACUUCGGGAAACCGGAUCUAAUACCGGAUAAUAUAUUGAACCGCAUGGUUCAAUAGUGAAAGACGGUUUUGCUGUCACUUAUAGAUGGAUCCGCGCCGCAUUAGCUAGUUGGUAAGGUAACGGCUUACCAAGGCAACGAUGCGUAGCCGACCUGAGAGGGUGAUCGGCCACACUGGAACUGAGACACGGUCCAGACUCCUACGGGAGGCAGCAGUAGGGAAUCUUCCGCAAUGGGCGAAAGCCUGACGGAGCAACGCCGCGUGAGUGAUGAAGGUCUUCGGAUCGUAAAACUCUGUUAUUAGGGAAGAACAAAUGUGUAAGUAACUAUGCCCGUCUUGACGGUACCUAAUCAGAAAGCCACGGCUAACUACGUG
rnacentral:rRNA from 1 species